rnacentral:lncRNA from 1 species
AAGUAACCCACUUGAUAAUCGAUUAUCCAUUUAUUCUACAAAGCAUAUUAUGUACCUGUUAUACACUAUUAAUUCAAUUAACGGUUCUUUUUUUUUUUCUGAAAUCGAAGGCAGAGUACAACACAAGACAGAUGGGGGGAAGAUACACUGUGCUGUGCAUCACCGAGGGAUAGCUGUAUCAAAAGAUUAUACAAAUACGUAUAAUAUCAUAAUGAUAAAAUAGCUAAAAGAAGUAUAUAUGAUGCUGUGAAAGUGCAACAGGGGUAAAUGGCUUAAGUGACUCCAAGGGAAAAUGUGUACUGUGUCUUUCUAACCUUGUGGCUUGCUCUUAAUUACUUGCUUUAUGGGUAUCUUAAAAAAGGUUAGGAGUCCAUGGACAAGCGGCAUGAAGAAACAGAGCAUCAUAUUCAACAGACUUUCAAUGGAUGUCCAGAACCACUGUGUAUAUUGGUUCCUAUAUAGGUUCAGCAAUGUUAAGAUGUGCCUACUUACCCUUUGCCUUCCGCCAUGAUUGAAAGUUUCCUGAGGCCUCCCCAGAAGCCAUCAUGCUUCCUGUACAGCCUGU